GAUCCUGGCUCAGAAUCAACGCUGGCGGCGCGCUUAACACAUGCAAGUCGAACGAGAAAGGGGAGCAAUCCCUGAGUAAAGUGGCGUACGGGUGAGUAACACGUGGGUGAUCUGCCUUUUGGUGGGGAAUAACCCUGGGAAACCGGGGCUAAUACCGCAUAAGUCCGCAAGGAGAAAGUCGAAAGACGCCGGAAGAGGAGCCCGCGGCCGAUUAGCUAGUUGGUAGGGUAAAGGCCUACCAAGGCAAUGAUCGGUAGCCGGCCUGAGAGGGCACACGGCCACACUGGCACUGAAACACGGGCCAGACUCCUACGGGAGGCAGCAGUGGGGAAUCUUGCACAAUGGGGGAAACCCUGAUGCAGCGACGCCGCGUGAGCGAUGAAGCCCUUCGGGGUGUAAAGCUCUUUCGACAGGAACGAUAAUGACGGUACCUGGAGAAGAAGCUGCGGCUAACUACGUGCCAGCAGCCGCGGUAAUACGUAGGCAGCAAGCGUUGUUCGGAAUUACUGGGCGUAAAGAGUGUGUAGGCGGUUUCGUAAGUUUGGUGUGAAAUCUCCCGGCUUAACUGGGAGGGUGCGCCGAAAACUGCGGGGCUUGAGUGCCGGAGAGGAAGGCGGAAUUCCUGGUGUAGCGGUGAAAUGCGUAGAUAUCAGGAGGAACACCGGCGGUGUAGACGGCCUUCUGGACGGCCACUGACGCUGAGACACGAAAGCGUGGGAGCAAACAG
rnacentral:rRNA from 1 species